AUGAACUACAAAGCAUGGAUUUCGAUAACGCAUCGACACCAUUGCAUUCAUCAAUCUUCCCCUUGCUUCUGAUUCAAAGCAGAACUUGUCACGGUUGCUCGUAGUGGAAACCUACAUUGUUUGUUUCGGUGGAGGGAGGGGGCGUACUCGUGCAGUGUCGAGCUUGUUUAGUAUUGUAGAGAAGUGGCUGGAUAGAUUUGAAAGCAAAAGAUAAGAUAAAAGCAGUGCAUUUUAGUGAAAUUGCCAGGUGCUGUAAUAUUACAACUUUAGAGACAGAGACCCAACCAGCAGCUGUUGGGAGGGCAAGUUGGUGUAGGAUACCCCUUUUGUAUUUGGUUGGAAAAAGCGG
rnacentral:misc_RNA from 1 species